rnacentral:rRNA from 1 species
UACGUAGGGGGCUAGCGUUGUCCGGAAUCAUUGGGCGUAAAGAGCGUGUAGGCGGUCCGGUAAGUCCGUUGUGAAAGUCAGGGGCUCAACCCUUGAAUGCCGGCGGAUACUGUAGAGCUUGAGACCGGAAGAGGUAAGUGGAACUGCGAGUGUAGAGGUGAAAUUCGUAGAUAUUCGGAGGAACACCAGUGGCGAAGGCGGCUCACUGGUCCGGUACUGACGCUGAGGUGCGAAAGCGUGGGGAGCAAACAGG